GAGUCCAGGCUUUUGCACCUUGUACAUAUAUGUUAUAUUUGUAAAUUGUUGAUGUUUAUUACAUAAUUGUUUGAUGAAGCUUUUGCACCCUGGACAUAUGUGUUACCUUUGUUAAUUGUUGAUGUUUAUUACAUAAUUGUUUGAUGAAGAGUCCAAUUUUCUGCACCCUGGACAUAUGUGUUAUCUUUGUUAAAUGUUGAUAUUUACUUAAUUACAUCAUUGUUUGGUGAAGAGUCCAUGCUUCUACUGGACAGACUUGAGUGAAGAUGUUGUAUACAAAAAACGGUACACAAGGACAAGGGACAGAUACAAGGAUCUUAUUCAUAAGAUCAAGAGGUGCCAAAACAACGUGAAACCACCUCCAUUCAUUCCUGACAAAGAGUGGGCAAGUUGGAAAGAGUAUUUGGUGUCGGGAUGAUGUGAAAGCAAAAGCAGAAGAUGGAAGUGAAUGAACGUGUUGAGACAUUGAGCCAGCCUGUUCCCGAUGCAGAUGAGGUGCCAGAGGUGGAUAUGAAUGAGAUCUUCAAAAGUCUUAUCCAGCCCUCGAAGAAGAAGAGACUAUUUGGUGCAUUGCUAUAUAAGUGGUUCAUCUAGUACUGAUUCUGAAGCGACCUCCCAGUUCGAUUCAACUGCUCAUCAGAAGUUAAUGGAGAUGCAGGAACUGUUCGAUUUAGAGAGACAGUAGAGCUAGCAAAAUGAGGAAAUGAUGCAAGCUGAGUUGAGGGGGCGAGAUGAGGAGUUGAGGGCGCGGGACGAGGCACAAGCACAGAUGCAAGCAUAGUUUCAGGCUCAGCAGGAAACUUUUGAGCGAGCUUUAUCGAAGCUAGAUAGUGGUGGAGGACAUCCAUCAUCUUCCUCUUGAUUCCUUUUAUCUUUAGAUGUUGGUAUGGAACCAUUUUAAACAAUUUGAUUUUAACUUUUUUAUGAAUAUUUUGUUAUGUUGGAGAGUGAACAUAUGAUCUUUUGUUAUGUUGGAAUUUAAUGUGAUAUAAGACUUUUUUUGUGGUUUA